GCUUCUAUAGCUUAUUCAAAGCAUAGCGCUGAAAACGCUAAGAUGGUCACUAAAAAGUCCUAAAGGCA
rnacentral:tRNA from 1 species